UACGUAGGGGGCUAGCGUUGUCCGGAAUCAUUGGGCGUAAAGAGCGUGUAGGCGGCUCGGUAAGUCCGCUGUAAAAGUCAAAGGCUCAACCUUUGAAUGUCAGUGGAUACUGCCGGGCUAGAGUCCGGAAGAGGCGAGUGGAACUCCUGGUGUAGCGGUGGAAUGCGCAGAUAUCAGGAAGAACACCAACGGCGAAGGCAGCUCGCUGGGACGGUACUGACGCUGAGGAGCGAAAGCGUGGGGAGCGAACAGG
rnacentral:rRNA from 1 species